rnacentral:rRNA from 1 species
UGGGGAAUAUUGCACAAUGGGCGCAAGCCUGAUGCAGCCAUGCCGCGUGUAUGAAGAAGGCCUUCGGGUUGUAAAGUACUUUCAGCGGGGAGGAAGGCGAUAAGGUUAAUAACCUUGUCGAUUGACGUUAGCCGCAGAAGAAGCACCGGCUAACUCCGUGCCAGCAGCCGCGGUAAUACGGAGGGUGCAAGCGUUAAUCGGACUUACUGGGCGUAAAGCGCACGCAGGCGGUUUGUCAAGUCGGAUGUGAAAUCCCCGGGCUCAACCUGGGAACUGCAUUCGAAACUGGCAGGCUAGAGUCUUGUAGAGGGGGGUAGAAUUCCAGGUGUAGCGGUGAAAUGCGUAGAGAUCUGGAGGAAUACCGGUGGCGAAGGCGGCCCCCUGGACAAAGACUGACGCUCAGGUGCGAAAGCGUGGGGAGCAAACA